rnacentral:rRNA from 1 species
CACGGCUAACUACGUGCCAGCAGCCGCGGUAAUACGUAGGUGGCAAGCGUUGUCCGGAAUUAUUGGGCGUAAAGCGCGCGCAGGCGGUUUCUUAAGUCUGAUGUGAAAGCCCCCGGCUCAACCGGGGAGGGUCAUUGGAAACUGGGGAACUUGAGUGCAGAAGAGGAGAGUGGAAUUCCACGUGUAGCGGUGAAAUGCGUAGAGAUGUGGAGGAACACCAGUGGCGAAGGCGACUCUCUGGUCUGUAACUGACGCUGAGGCGCGAAAGCGUGGGGAGCGAACAGGAUUAGAUACCCUGGUAGUCCACGCCGUAAACGAUGAGUGCUAAGUGUUAGAGGGUUUCCGCCCUUUAGUGCUGCAGCAAACGCAUUAAGCACUCCGCCUGGGGAGUACGGUCGCAAGACUGAAACUCAAAGGAAUUGACGGGGGCCCGCACAAGCGGUGGAGCAUGUGGUUUAAUUCGAAGCAACGCGAAGAACCUUACCAGGUCUUG